GACGGAGGAUGCAAGCGUUAUCCGGAAUGAUUGGGCGUAAAGCGUCCGCAGGUGGCAGUUCAAGUCUGCUGUCAAAGACCGGGGCUUAACUUCGGAAAGGCAGUGGAAACUGAACAGCUAGAGUAUUGUAGGGGCAGAGGGAAUUCCUGGUGUAGCGGUGAAAUGCGUAGAGAUCAGGAAGAACAUCGGUGGCGAAGGCGCUCUGCUGGACCAUAACUGACACUCAGGGACGAAAGCUAGGGGAGCGAAUGGG
rnacentral:rRNA from 1 species